rnacentral:rRNA from 1 species
UACGUAGGUGGCGAGCGUUAUCCGGAAUGAUUGGGCGUAAAGGGUGCGUAGGCGGCCUGCUAAGUCUGGAGUGAAAGGUACCGGCUCAACCGGUACAGGCUCUGGAAACUGGCGGGCUAGAGAGCAGGAGAGGGCGGUGGAACUCCAUGUGUAGCGGUGAAAUGCGUAGAUAUUAGGAGGAACACCAGUGGCGAAGGCGGUCUGCUGGACAGCAACUGACGCUGAGGCGCGAAAGCGUGGGGAGCAAACAGG